rnacentral:rRNA from 1 species
CACUAUCGUUAACUGAAUACAUAGGUUAACGAGGCGAACCGGGGGAACUGAAACAUCUAAGUACCCCGAGGAAAAGAAAUCAACCGAGAUUCCCCCAGUAGCGGCGAGCGAACGGGGAGCAGCCCAGAGUCUGAAUCAGCUUGUGUGUUAGUGGAACGGUCUGGAAAGUCCGACGGUACAGGGUGAUAGUCCCGUACACCAAAAUGCACAGGCUGUGAACUCGAAGAGUAGGGCGGGACACGUGGUAUCCUGUCUGAAUAUGGGGGGACCAUCCUCCAAGGCUAAAUACUCCUGACUGACCGAUAGUGAACCAGUACCGUGAGGGAAAGGCGAAAAGAACCCCGGCGAGGGGAGUGAAAAAGAACCUGAAACCGUGUACGUACAAGCAGUGGGAGCACCUUCGGGUGUGACUGCGUACCUUUUGUAUAAUGGGUCAGCGACUUAUAUUCUGUAGCAAGGUUAACCGUAUAGGGGAGCCGCAGGGAAACCGAGUCUUAACUGGGCGUUAAGUUGCAGGGUAUAGACCCGAAACCCGGUGAUCUAGCCAUGGGCAGGUUGAAGGUUGGGUAACACUAACUGGAGGACCGAACCGACUAAUGUUGAAAAAUUAGCGGAUGACUUGUGGCUGGGGGUGAAAGGCCAAUCAAACCGGGAGAUAGCUGGUUCUCCCCGAAAGCUAUUUAGGUAGCGCCUCGUGAAUUCAUCUUCGGGGGUAGAGCACUGUUUCGGCUAGGGGGUCAUCCCGACUUACCAACCCGAUGCAAACUACGAAUACCGAAGAAUGUUAUCACGGGAGACACACGGCGGGUGCUAACGUCCGUCGUGAAGAGGGAAACAACCCAGACCGCCAGCUAAGGUCCCAAAGUCAUGGUUAAGUGGGAAACGAUGUGGGAAGGCACAGACAGCCAGGAUGUUGGCUUAGAAGCAGCCAUCAUUUAAAGAAAGCGUAAUAGCUCACUGGUCGAGUCGGCCUGCGCGGAAGAUGUAACGGGGCUAAACCAUGCACCGAAGCUGCGGCAGCGACACUAUGUGUUGUUGGGUAGGGGAGCGUUCUGUAAGCCUGCGAAGGUGNUGCUGGAGGUAUCAGAAGUGCGAAUGCUGACAUAAGUAACGAUAAAGCGGGUGAAAAGCCCGCUCGCCGGAAGACCAAGGGUUCCUGUCCAACGUUAAUCGGGGCAGGGUGAGUCGACCCCUAAGGCGAGGCCGAAAGGCGUAGUCGAUGGGAAACAGGUUAAUAUUCCUGUACUUGGUGUUACUGCGAAGGGGGGACGGAGAAGGCUAUGUUAGCCGGGCGACGGUUGUCCCGGUUUAAGCAUGUAGGCUGGUUGUCCAGGCAAAUCCGGAUAAUCAAGGCUGAGGUGUGAUGACGAGGCACUACGGUGCUGAAGUAACAAAUGCCCUGCUUCCAGGAAAAGCCUCUAAGCAUCAGGUAACAUCAAAUCGUACCCCAAACCGACACAGGUGGUCAGGUAGAGAAUACCAAGGCGCUUGAGAGAACUCGGGUGAAGGAACUAGGCAAAAUGGUGCCGUAACUUCGGGAGAAGGCACGCUGGUGUGUAGGUGAAGCCCCUGCGGGUGGAGCUGAGACCAGUCGAAGAUACCAGCUGGCUGCAACUGUUUAUUAAAAACACAGCACUGUGCAAACACGAAAGUGGACGUAUACGGUGUGACGCCUGCCCGGUGCCGGAAGGUUAAUUGAUGGGGUUAUCCGUAAGGAGAAGCUCUUGAUCGAAGCCCCGGUAAACGGCGGCCGUAACUAUAACGGUCCUAAGGUAGCGAAAUUCCUUGUCGGGUAAGUUCCGACCUGCACGAAUGGCGUAAUGAUGGCCAGGCUGUCUCCACCCGAGACUCAGUGAAAUUGAACUCGCUGUGAAGAUGCAGUGUACCCGCGGCAAGACGGAAAGACCCCGUGAACCUUUACUAUAGCUUGACACUGAACAUUGAGCCUUGAUGUGUAGGAUAGGUGGGAGGCUUUGAAGCGUGGACGCCAGUCUGCGUGGAGCCAACCUUGAAAUACCACCCUUUAAUGUUUGAUGUUCUAACGUUGGCCCCUUACCGGGGUUGCGGACAGUGUCUGGUGGGUAGUUUGACUGGGGCGGUCUCCUCCCAAAGCGUAACGGAGGAGCACGAAGGUUAGCUAAUCCUGGUCGGACAUCAGGAGGUUAGUGCAAUGGCAUAAGCUAGCUUGACUGCGAGCGUGACGGCGCGAGCAGGUGCGAAAGCAGGUCAUAGUGAUCCGGUGGUUCUGAAUGGAAGGGCCAUCGCUCAACGGAUAAAAGGUACUCCGGGGAUAACAGGCUGAUACCGCCCAAGAGUUCAUAUCGACGGCGGUGUUUGGCACCUCGAUGUCGGCUCAUCACAUCCUGGGGCUGAAGUAGGUCCCAAGGGUAUGGCUGUUCGCCAUUUAAAGUGGUACGCGAGCUGGGUUUAGAACGUCGUGAGACAGUUCGGUCCCUAUCUGCCGUGGGCGCUGGAGAAUUGAGGGGGGCUGCUCCUAGUACGAGAGGACCGGAGUGGACGCAUCACUGGUGUUCGGGUUGUCAUGCCAAUGGCACUGCCCGGUAGCUAAAUGCGGAAGAGAUAAGUGCUGAAAGCAUCUAAGCACGAAACUUGCCCCGAGAUGAGUUCUCCCUGAGACUUUAAGUCUCCUGAAGGAACGUUGAAGACGACGACGUUGAUAGGCCGGGUGUGUAAGCGCAGCGAUGCGUUGAGCUAACCGGUACUAAUGAACCGUGAGGCUUAACCUU